GCGCCACCGCGUCAAAACGUGACUCACGCCACUCUGACACAAUUUGUAAACAACAGCACCAUAACUGAAAGUCCAGCCCGUGUUUUUUGAAAACUAGACAUCUCAACCAUCAUUUUGAUACCUCAUAUGUGUGGGUAUGUGCUGUAAAACUAACAGUGACAUUGUUUUAAAAAACGUUUUUGAUCAUUUUUUUUUACCUUGACCAGAAUGCUGUUGAAAUGACGCGACGGCGAAAUCGCGGCAAAACACUGCUCGGUUAUGAUCAUAAUUCUCCGUCAAAACAACAGAAAACGCCCAGAAGGAGAUGAAAUAAAUUUAGUAACUAUGUGUUUCACUAGUUUUAGAAAUCUCUGAUCUCUAAAAUACAGGGAUAAUACAUUCACAUAGUCCAGGAAGUGGACAACCGACCGGAUGUUGUUUUGUGAUCAGUGAUGCGUUUCCAGGGACACAGUAAACUUUGAGGAAGAAGUAGUGUCAUGUUUAGUGUUCACGGUUUACAUUGCUGAAGGAAAAUUACAAGCCUAAACGGAGAUGAGUCGUCAUUUCAAUGUGUUUCACGGACGUAUUGGUAUGUGGAUGUGGACAAUGUCGGACGACAUCAAAGUUGACAUGAGAAGUUGGAGUGAAUACGAGAAGAGCAUGCGAGCUGCCUGCUGCCUACUGCCUACUCCUGCUGCUGCCGCUGCUGCUGUUGCAUUCAAUGUUGGGUAGCCAGCCACCCAUGCACGAUGACAAUGCCAGCAGCGGGCACCCAUGGGGAUGGACCCAGGAGUGGAGGAUGACCCAGUAUGGUGAGUUGUGUAGCUAAUGUCACACACACAUAUAGAUAAUUGUUUUAGGUGUAUGGGAAAUAACUAAAUGUUUGUUUACAUUGUACAGAUGAAAGUUCAGCCUACUCACUGACACCAGUGACACAGUAUUGGCCAGAUCUCCUGGAAGUGCCUCCUGACGCAGACCCAGUUGUUGGGUAGCCAGCCACCCAUGCACGUUGACACAGCCAGCACCGAGCACCCAGGGGGAUGGACCCAGGAGUGGAGGAUGACCCAGUAUGAUGAAAGUUCAGCCUACUCACUGACACCAGUGACACAGUAUUGGCCAGAUCUCCUGGAAGUGCCUCCUGACGCAGACCCAGUUGUUGGGUAGCCAGCCACCCAUGCACGUUGACACAGCCAGCACCGAGCACCCAGGGGGAUGGACCCAGGAGUGGAGGAUGACCCAGUAUGAUGAAAGUUCAGCCUACUCACUGACACCAGUGACACAGUAUUGGCCAGAUCUCCUGGAAGUGCCUCCUGACGCAGACCCAGUUGUUGGGUAGCCAGCCACCCAUGCACGUUGACACAGCCAGCACCGAGCACCCAGGGGGAUGGACCCAGGAGUGGAGGAUGACCCAGUAUGAUGAAAGUUCAGCCUACUCACUGACACCAGUGACACAGUAUUGGCCAGAUCUCCUGGAAGUGCCUCCUGACGCAGACCCAGUUGUUGGGUAGCCAGCCACCCAUGCACGUUGACACAGCCAGCACCGAGCACCCAGGGGGAUGGACCCAGGAGUGGAGGACGGCCCAAUAGGAUGAAAAUUCAUCCCACUCACUGUUGACACCAAUGAGGGAACAAGAGAGGCUAGGCAACCCCAUCUUUUGACAACGGUCACCACCAGUCUAUUUCUAAAAAUGUUAUUAUUAUAUAUCUGUUAUAUAACAAUGUAUUUGUGUAUGGAUUAUAUGGGACAUUUAAAUGUUUUUUGAACAAAUGCUUAUUUAUCCUUUCUAUCUGUAAAUAAACUUGAACAUAUAAGUUUACUGAGUGAAUGACAACCAAACUGCAUGAAUUACAUAAUCACAAAAUUCCAUUAUUCCAAAAGCGCCUAUGAGUGUAUGGCUACUUUAUGACAGCAUUUAGAUAUUUGUGAAGAUUAUAUUGUACAUUUUAAUGGGAUUAUGUCCAAAGAAGUGCUUAUUAAUCUUUUAGUUUCUAAAUAACCCCAAACAUUUGUAUUAGACUGUGUAGCAACCCCUUCUACCACAUGA